GGGACUCGUUCGCGAGAUCCGCUCCUCUUGAAAUGCAUUAGCGGUUUGCCCAUUCGCAGAUCUGCUCCGGCGUGAUAAUUAUCUACGUCGCGGCGGUGAUGCCCCUAUCCGGCGCAGCUGCUCCUAACCGUCGCCCCUGUCGCGACAAACUCCUAUGACAAUUUGGCCUCGAAUCAGGUAGGAUUACCCGCUGAACUUAA
rnacentral:misc_RNA from 1 species